UAUAGAAAGAAGAAACAAUAAGAUACACUUGCGUCUUGUACGGUCGGGUGUUCUUUUUAUUAUCGCAUGAAAGAAUCGUAUAUCGCCAAAGAGUCUCUUCAAAGUCCUCCGAACCUGCGAACCUGUUGCCAACUUGAAAUGCAUAUACACACACAUGUACGAUGCAACUAAACGGUAUACAUGGAUGACGCAAACAAAGAUAAAACGUAAUUAUUCUCAAAUUGCGGCAAUGAAAAAAACACCCCAUUACUUCCUAUGUGAUAACAGGUGGUCUUACAGUAAUGUACAGUACGUUGUUUCUGUAUUUACAUUCGAGUAGAAUUAGUUUUGUCUUAAAAAUGAUUAAUGAGGGAUUAGUUGUGACAGCAAACACCAACAAGCUACACCGAGUACUCUAUAACUAAACGAGGAAAUGCAUAUACAGAAGAAGACCCAGUGUUGAAACACUAAAUCUUAAUGGAUGAAAAAGUCACAUCUCCGUACCAUGAUGCUGCUAAAACCACCCCGUCUACGUUAGUGUUAUUAUCCUUGCAAGGGAAUUCACUUCGUAAACGUGUGGAAGGUAGGGUUGCACGAUACUGAAUACCUUUUUUCCCAUUGUAAGUUGUCAACUAUCGAAGCAUCACAGAACUCAGUUAAUGAAGCUGAUGUUAAAAACAAUAGUGAUGAAGAUGUGGCGGGAAAUGAAA